AAGUUCACAUAGCAAAUAGACCCAGAAAUUCUUGAAAAUUUAUAGAGUGUUUAUACCCCAUUUCAGUAGUUCCCAAAUUAAAUUUUAGCUUAAAAUUCAACCGUUUGUGUGGCGAACCAAAAUUUUGCGGCAGACACGAUUAUAUUUGAUUUACAUAGUAAGUCUGUCAAGAAAAGGCUGAAAUUCUUGCAGCAAUUAGUCAGUAUUGGGUUGCAUUUGCCUACUCAAUUUCAGAUCAAAAUACACUCAUUUGCUUGGUGAUCCUAAAUUUAUGCAAUUCUUGGUGUAUUGUGUGAACUGCUGGUAAUUGUGAUAAGUUGGUGGCAAACUUGGAUAUUUAAGCUUAAUAUCUCUACUUUAGGUUGUCUCUUUUUCAGCUUACUACUCUUUUAUUUUGG
rnacentral:misc_RNA from 1 species